AACACAUGCAAGUCGAGGGGCAGCAUUUUUCAAGCUUGCUUGAAAAGAUGGCGACCGGCGCACGGGUGAGUAACACGUAUCCAACCUACCGUUUACUCUCGGAUAGCCUUCCGAAAGGAAGAUUAAUACGGGAUGGUAUUGAGAUUUCACAUGAUGACUCAAUUAAAGAAUUUCGGUAAACGAUGGGGAUGCGUUCCAUUAGAUAGUAGGCGGGGUAACGGCCCACCUAGUCGACGAUGGAUAGGGGUUCUGAGAGGAAGGUCCCCCACAUUGGAACUGAGACACGGUCCAAACUCCUACGGGAGGCAGCAGUGAGGAAUAUUGGUCAAUGGGCGCGAGCCUGAACCAGCCAAGUAGCGUGAAGGAUGAAGGUCCUAUGGAUUGUAAACUUCUUUUAUACAGGAAUAAAGUGAGGUACGUGUACCUUUUUGUAUGUACUGUAUGAAUAAGCAUCGGCUAACUCCGUGCCAGCAGCCGCGGUAAUACGGAGGAUGCGAGCGUUAUCCGGAUUUAUUGGGUUUAAAGGGAGCGCAGACGGUUCGUUAAGUCAGUUGUGAAAGUUUGGGGCUCAACCUUAAAAUUGCAAUUGAUACUGGCGGACUUGAGUGCAGAUGAGGUAGGCGGAAUUCGUGGUGUAGCGGUGAAAUGCUUAGAUAUCACGAAGAACUCCGAUUG
rnacentral:rRNA from 1 species